rnacentral:rRNA from 1 species
AGGAUUAGAUACCCGGGUAGUCCCAGCUGUAAACGAUGCAAACUCGGUGAUGCAUUGGCUUAUUGCCAAUGCAGUGCCGCAGGGAAGCCGUUAAGUUUGCCGCCUGGGAAGUACGGACGCAAGUCUGAAACUUAAAGGAAUUGGCGGGGGAGCACCACAAGGGGUGAAGCCUGCGGUUCAAUUGGAGUCAACGCCAGGAAUCUUACCCGGGGAGACAGCAGAAUGAAGGUCAAGCUGAAGACUUUACCAGACAAGCUGAGAGGAGGUGCAUGGCCGUCGCCAGCUCGUGCCGUGAGGUGUCCUGUUAAGUCAGGUAACGAGCGAGAUCCCUGCCCUUAGUUGCUGCAGUUACUCUCAGGAGUAGCUGGGCUAACUAAGGGGACCGCCACUGCUGAAGUGGAGGAAGGAGGGGGCCACGGCAGGUCAGUAUGCCCCGAAACCCUGGGGCUACACGCGGGCUGCAAUGAUAGAGACAACGGGUUCCGAACUCGAAAGAGGGAGGCAAUCCUUAAACUCUAUCUCAGUUAUGAUUGAGGGCUGCAACUCGCCCUCAUGAAUAUGGAAUCCCUAGUAACCGCGCGUCAUAACCGCGCAGUGAAUACGUCCCUGCUCCUUGCACACGCCGCCCGUCGCUUCAUUGAAGUUGGGUUUGUGCGAGGUGACGCCUAAUUGACGUCAUCGAACACGAGUUUAGCAACAAGGGAGAAGUCGUAACAAG